UACGGAGGAUCCAAGCGUUAUCCGGAUUUAUUGGGUUUAAAGGGUGCGUAGGCGGCUUAUUAAGUCAGGGGUGAAAGACGGUGGCUCAACCAUCGCAGUGCCUUUGAUACUGAUGAGCUUGAAUACACUUGAGGUAGGCGGAAUGUGACAAGUAGCGGUGAAAUGCAUAGAUAUGUCACAGAACACCAAUUGCGAAGGCAGCUUACUAAGGUGCAAUUGACGCUGAGGCACGAAAAGCGUGGGGGAUCAAACAGGG
rnacentral:rRNA from 1 species